CCAAUAGCGUAUGUUAAAGUUGUUGCAGUUAAAAAGCUCGUAGUUGAACUUCGGGGUUCACCCAUUGGUCAGGCUUAACUGUCUGUACCGGUGCGAUGAAUCUCUACCUUCUGAGGAACUUUCAUGCCAUUUAUUUGGUGUGAUUGGAAAUCAGGACUAUUACUUUGAAAAAAUUAGAGUGUUUAAAGCAGGCUAACGUCUGAAUACAUUAGCAUGGAAUAAUGAAAUAGGACGGACUGGUUCUAUUUUGUUGGUUUCUAGGAUCACCGUAAUGAUUAAUAGGGAUAGUUGGGGGCAUUAGUAUUCAAUUGUCAGAGGUGAAAUUCUUGGAUUUAUUGAAGACUAACUACUGCGAAAGCAUUUGCCAAGGAUGUUUUCAUUAAUCAAGAACGAAAGUUAGGGGAUCGAAGACGAUCAGAUACCGUCGUAGUCUUAACCAUAAACUAUGCCGACUAGGGAUCGGACGAAGUUAAUUUUAUAAUGACGCGUUCGGCACCUUACG
rnacentral:rRNA from 1 species